GGCGAACGCUGGCGGCGUGCCUAAUACAUGCAAGUAGAACGCUGAAGGGGGAGCUUGCUUCUCCGGAUGAGUUGCGAACGGGUGAGUAACGCGUAGGUAACCUGCCUGGUAGCGGGGGAUAACUAUUGGAAACGAUAGCUAAUACCGCAUAAUAGUAGAUGUUGCAUGACAUUUGCUUAAAAGGUGCAAUUGCACCACUACCAGAUGGACCUGCGUUGUAUUAGCUAGUUGGUGGGGUAACGGCUCACCAAGGCGACGAUACAUAGCCGACCUGAGAGGGUGAUCGGCCACACUGGGACUGAGACACGGCCCAGACUCCUACGGGAGGCAGCAGUAGGGAAUCUUCGGCAAUGGACGGAAGUCUGACCGAGCAACGCCGCGUGAGUGAAGAAGGUUUUCGGAUCGUAAAGCUCUGUUGUAAGAGAAGAACGAGUGUGAGAGUGGAAAGUUCACACUGUGACGGUAUCUUACCAGAAAGGGACGGCUAACUACGUG
rnacentral:rRNA from 1 species